rnacentral:lncRNA from 1 species
AUAUGUAACACUCAGAAACGUAUCCUUCCCCCCAAACGUGUCCGAUACUCCCAAACGUGUCCACAUCGACGUCACUGAAAUGCAAAACAUGUCUAGUUGUGAAAAGGGCGUCAAAGCGUGUCAUUUGUAUUAUUUAAACGCCUAAACGUGUCCAUUUUUUAAUAAACACCCAAACGUGCCCAAUCCCCCAAACUUGUCCUAUAAUAUAAAGGGAACUAAAAGAUUGUUACACUGAUAUUCCGUAGAAAUAAAACUGUCCUUUUCCGCUCCAAAAAAAUAUAAUUUAAUUCCGAGUUACGAUUAGUGUAGAUUCCUAAAAACCGUAAAGUGUAAAUUCUUAUAACUGUACACAAUUCAUUUAGGCCUAAUCCCAAAUUCCCGGAAUAAUUGAGGUACAAUCCAAGAGUUCUGGCAAAUAUUCUUCCGCAUCUCAUUAUAUAACUUAUCCAAAGUAUGUUGUCGUC